rnacentral:rRNA from 1 species
GACGAACGCUGGCGGCAUGCCUAAUACAUGCAAGUAGAACGCUGAAGGAGGAGCUUGCUUCUCUGGAUGAGUUGCGAACGGGUGAGUAACGCGUAGGUAACCUGCCUGGUAGCGGGGGAUAACUAUUGGAAACGAUAGCUAAUACCGCAUAAUAUUGACUAUUGCAUGAUAGUCAGUUGAAAGGUGCAACUGCACCACUACCAGAUGGACCUGCGUUGUAUUAGCUAGUUGGUGGGGUAACGGCUCACCAAGGCGACGAUACAUAGCCGACCUGAGAGGGUGAUCGGCCACACUGGGACUGAGACACGGCCCAGACUCCUACGGGAGGCAGCAGUAGGGAAUCUUCGGCAAUGGACGGAAGUCUGACCGAGCAACGCCGCGUGAGUGAAGAAGGUUUUCGGAUCGUAAAGCUCUGUUGUAAGAGAAGAACGAGUGUGAGAGUGGAAAGCUCACACUGUGACGGUAUCUUACCAGAAAGGGACGGCUAACUACGUG